rnacentral:rRNA from 1 species
GAGUUUGAUCAUGGCUCAGGAUGAACGCUGACAGAAUGCUUAACACAUGCAAGUCAACUUGAACUUCGGUUUGGGUGGCGGACGGGUGAGUAACGCGUAAAGAACUUGCCUCACAGAUAGGGACAACAUUUGGAAACGAAUGCUAAUACCUGAUAUUAUGAUUUUAGGGCAUCCUAGGAUUAUGAAAGCUAUAUGCGCUGUGAGAGAGCUUUGCGUCCCAUUAGCUAGUUGGAGAGGUAACGGCUCACCAAGGCGAUGAUGGGUAGCCGGCCUGAGAGGGUGAUCGGCCACAAGGGGACUGAGACACGGCCCUUACUCCUACGGGAGGCAGCAGUGGGGAAUAUUGGACAAUGGACCAAGAGUCUGAUCCAGCAAUUCUGUGUGCACGAUGAAGUUUUUCGGAAUGUAAAGUGCUUUCAGUUGGGAAGAAAAAAAUGACGGUACCAACAGAAGAAGUGACGGCUAAAUACGUGCCAGCAGCCGCGGUAC